rnacentral:rRNA from 1 species
AUUGAACGCUGGCGGCAUGCCUUACACAUGCAAGUCGAACGGUAACGGGCCUUCGGGUGCCGACGAGUGGCGAACGGGUGAGUAAUGCAUCGGAACGUACCUUUCAGUGGGGGAUAACGUAGCGAAAGUUACGCUAAUACCGCAUAUUCUGUGCGCAGGAAAGCAGGGGAUCGCAAGACCUUGCGCUGAUUGAGCGGCCGAUGUCAGAUUAGCUAGGUGGUGAGGUAAAGGCUCACCAAGGCGACGAUCUGUAGCGGGUCUGAGAGGAUGAUCCGCCAGACUGGAACUGAGACACAGUCCAGACUCCUACGGGAGGCAGCAGUGGGGAAUUUUGGACAAUGGGGGCAACCCUGAUCCAGCCAUGCCGCGUGAGUGAAGAAGGCCUUCGGGCUGUAAAGCUCUUUCGGCCGGGAAGAAAUCGCAUGGGUUAAUACCCUGUGCGGAUGACGGUACCGGCAUAAGAAGCACCGGCUAACUACGUGCCAGCAGCCGCCGUAAGAC